rfam:Triticum urartu cultivar G1812 contig920997, whole genome shotgun sequence.
GACCUACUUCGUCCGUUCUGAAUUACUCGCCGCAGAGAUGGAUGUAUCUAGAUGUAUUUUAGUUCUAAAUACAUCCCUUUUUACGAAGAGUAAUUUGGAACGGAGGGAGUAGCUU